ACUAUUUUGGCAGAUAAGUGCAUUAGAUUUAGAAUCUAUAAAAGUAGAAUAUUACUACAUAUAGUA
rnacentral:tRNA from 1 species